GGUCACAGCUCAGUGGUAGAGCAUCUGCUUUGCAUGCAAAAGGUCUCUGGUUCAAUUCCUGGAAUCUCCA